rnacentral:rRNA from 1 species
UACAGAGGUCUCGAGCGUUGUUCGGAUUCAUUGGGCGUAAAGGGCGCGUAGGCUGCGGGGCAAGUCGGGUGUGAAAUCUCAGAGCUCAACUCUGAAACUGCACUCGAUACUGCUUUGCUUGAGGACUGGAGAGGAGAUUGGAAUUCACGGUGUAGCAGUGAAAUGCGUAGAUAUCGUGAGGAAGACCAGUGGCGAAGGCGGAUCUCUGGACAGUUCGUGACACUGAGACACGAAGGCCAGGGGAGCAAACGGG